CGACGGAGAGAGCGACACGAGCACCGACAUGGAGGAGUCGGACAUUCGUUUCGAAGCCGAGUGCGGCACUGACCCAGACCAAGAUAUGGACGAGUCUGCUGGUCCUGGUGAACCCGACACCACCUACGUGCUUUCUGCAGACGAAAGCUUCAUGAGUGACCGUGAACAGGUGCCACCCCAGAAGGAGCGC